rnacentral:rRNA from 1 species
AUUGAACGCUGGCGGUAGGCUUAACACAUGCAAGUCGAGCGGAAACGAAGAAUAGCUUGCUAUUCUGGCGUCGAGCGGCGGACGGGUGAGUAAUGCUUGGGAAUCUGCCUAGUCGAGGGGGACAACAGUUGGAAACGACUGCUAAUACCGCAUACGACCUACGGGUGAAAGGGGGCCUCUUCUUGAAAGCUCUCGCGACUAGAUGAGCCCAAGUGGGAUUAGCUUGUUGGUGAGGUAAGAGCUCACCAAGGCGACGAUCCCUAGCUGGUCUGAGAGGAUGAUCAGCCACACUGGAACUGAGACACGGUCCAGACUCCUACGGGAGGCAGCAGUGGGGAAUAUUGCACAAUGGGCGAAAGCCUGAUGCAGCCAUACCGCGUGUAUGAAGAAGGCCUUAGGGUUGUAAAGUACUUUCAGCGAGGAGGAAAGGUUGGCAAUUAAUACUUGUCAACUGUGACGUUACUCGCAGAAGAAGCACCGGCUAACUCCGUGCCAGCAGCCGCGGUAAUAC